CCUACGGGGUGCAGCAGUAGGGAAUCUUUCACAAUGGGCGAAAGCCUGAUGGAGCAACGCCGCGUGCAGGAUGAAGGCCUUCGGGUUGUAAACUGCUUUUAUAAGCGAGAAAUAUGAUGGUAACUUAUGAAUAAGGAUCGGCUAACUACGUGCCAGCAGCCGCGGUCAUACGUAGGAUCCGAGCAUUAUCCGGAGUGACUGGGUGUAAAGAGUUGCGUAGGUGGCAUAAUAAGUAGCUAGUGAAAUCUGGUGGCUCAACCAUUCAGACUAUUAGCUAAACUGUUAAGCUCGAGACCGUUAGGGGUAACUGGAAUUUCUAGUGUAGGAGUGAAAUCCGUAGAUAUUAGAAGGAACACCAGUAGCGUAGGCAGGUUGCUGGGACGGUUCUGACACUAAGGCACGAAAGCGUAGGGAGCAAACGGGAUUAGAUACCCCAGUAGUC
rnacentral:rRNA from 1 species